GAAUAUUGGACACUGGGCGAAAGCCUGUUCCCGCAAUGCCGCGUGUAGGAUGAAGGCCUUCGGGUUGUAAACUGCUGUUGUACGGAACGAAAAGCCUUGGGUUAAUACCCUGGAGUCUUGACGGUCCCGUAAGAAUAAGCACCGGCUAACUACGUGCAAGCAGCCGCGGUAAUACGUAGGGCGCAAGCGUUAAUCGGAAUUACUGUGCGUAAAGCGUGCGCAGGCGGUUUUGUAAGACAGAGGUGAAAUCCCCGGGCUCAACCUGGGAACUGCCUUUGUGUCUGCAAGGCUAGAGUACGGCAGAGGGGGGUGGAAUUCCGCGUGUAGCAGUGAAAUGCGUAUAUAUGCGGAGGAACACCGAUGGCGAAGGCAACCCCCUGGGCCUGUACUGACGCUCAUGCACGAAAGCGUGGGGAGCAAACA
rnacentral:rRNA from 1 species